rnacentral:rRNA from 1 species
UGCUUCCAGGAAAAGUCUCUAAGCUUCAGUUACAUAGGAAUCGUACCCGAAACCGACACAGGUGGUCAGGUCGAGUAGACCAAAGCGCUUGAGAGAACUCUGCUGAAGGAACUAGGCAAAAUGGUACCGUAACUUCGGGAGAAGGUACGCUGCCGACGGUGAUAGGAUUUACUCCUUGAGCUAUUGGCAGCCACAGAAACCAGGCCCCUGCAACUGUUUAUUAAAAACAUAGCACUCUGCAAACACGAAAGUGGACGUAUAGGGUGUGAUGCCUGCCCGGUGCUGGAAGGUUAA